rnacentral:rRNA from 1 species
UACGUAGGGGGCUAGCGUUGUCCGGAAUCAUUGGGCGUAAAGCGCGUGUAGGCGGUCCGGUAAGUCCGCUGUGAAAGUCGGGGGGUCAACCCUCGAAUGCCGGUGGAUACUGUCGGGCUAGAGUGCGGAAGAGGCGAGUGGAAUUCCUGGUGUAGCGGUGAAAUGCGCAGAUAUCAGGAGGAACACCAAUUGCGAAGGCAGCUCGCUGGGACGUAACUGACGCUGAGACGCGAAACGUGGGGGAGCAAACAGG